AAAGAAAAAACUAUCAAGAAUUUUACUAAAUUUUGUGUGCAAUCUAUGGAAGACGAUACAAUACUGCAAUAUCUGUACGAAGCAGAUUCUUUAAGCUUGGCCCUCUAAUACACAUGUUCCCCACCAUCCCCACUAUCGUGAAAUUGAAAACCUCGAUGGAAUAUGUUCUUCACGUAGAAAAAAAAUUAAACUUAAUGAAUUCUUCGUUUUUUUUCAUUUCAAAAUGCAUUCAACGUAGAACUUUUCAAAUAGAACUCGAUAUUAUUACAUUUUAUUCAAGAAAUUAAUAUUUCUGAAAAUUGAUUCUCGCAAUAUUUACUUAAAAAAAAAACUUCGUUAAAAAAUUAUAAUUUAUUGAAAACAAGCUUUACAAAUAUUUGAACCAUCGAGUUCGAGAUACAGACGAUAUCUUUGUUACCGGAAGUUUGCAAUGUCUCACUGACAGUUGAGAAAAUUGAAAACCUGGCGAAUCUUUAAAUUUCAACGAAAAUGUGAAAGAUCAAUGAAGUGAAAAUAUUUGGACGUUUAUCGAAAUGUUUGAUUGUCUCACUAUAUGUAACACCGUUUGCAUAGGUUGCAUCUGGGUUGCUUUAUUCUCCAAGUGUUUUUCAAAUUUAAUUAGCAUCAGAAGAGUCGAUUCGAGCGAGUGCUGCAAUUGGAAGAAACCAAAACCCGAAGAAAAGAUUUCACGCAUUGUUCAAUGUUGUUUAAGCUCUACAGAGGCUCUUAUGCUUCAAACAUCUUGCCAAUCUAAUUACGAUGACUUACAGAAUUAUAAAUAUCAAGUAUUGAUGGCAGAAAAGGAAAUAUUAUAAAAUUAAAAAAUGAUAAUCAGCAGACUGAAAUUGCAAAAAAAAAAAAGAAGAUUUACAAAAUUUGUGAACGAAGAAAAGGAAAUAUUUUUGCCAGAUUAGAAAAUGUCGAAAAUGUCGAACAACUACAAAAUUAAUCAUCUGUACCUGUACAUCUUAUUUCAUAUCUUAUUUUACAUCCAAAAGAUGUAAAAUAAAAAUAAUUGAUAGAAAAUAUUCAAAGUGAAUAAUCCAUUGUCCAAUAAUAUGUCCAAUAAU
rnacentral:lncRNA from 1 species